rnacentral:tRNA from 2 species
UUCCUCAGUAGCUCAGUGGUAGAGCGGUCGGCUGUUAACCGAUUGGUCGCAGGUUCGAAUCCUGCCUGGGGA